rnacentral:rRNA from 1 species
CCUGGCGGUAGUAGCGCGGUGGUCCCACCUGACCCCAUGCCGAACUCAGAAGUGAAACGCCGUAGCGCCGAUGGUAGUGUGGGGUCUCCCCAUGCGAGAGUAAGGGAACUGCCAGGC